rnacentral:rRNA from 1 species
ACGCUAGCUACAGGCUUAACACAUGCAAGUCGAGGGGAAACGGCAUUAAGUGCUUGCACUUUUUGGACGUCGACCGGCGCACGGGUGAGUAACGCGUAUCCAACCUUCCCAUGACUAAGGGAUAACCUGCCGAAAGGCAGACUAAUACCUUAUGGUCUUCACUGACGGCAUCAGAUGUGAAGUAAAGAUCUAUCGGUUAUGGAUGGGGAUGCGUCUGAUUAGCUUGUUGGCGGGGUAACGGCCCACCAAGGCAACGAUCAGUAGGGGUUCUGAGAGGAAGGUCCCCCACAUUGGAACUGAGACACGGUCCAAACUCCUACGGGAGGCUGCAGUGAGGAAUAUUGGUCAAUGGGCGAGAGCCUGAACCGGCCAAGUAGCGUGCAGGAUGACGGCCCUAUGGGUUGUAAACUGCUUUUGUAUGGGGAUAAAGUCAAUCACGUGUGAUUGUUUGCAGGUACCAUACGAAUAAGGACCGGCUAAUUCCGUGCCAGCAGCCGCGGUAAUACGGAAGGUCCGGGCGUUAUCCGGAUUUAUUGGGUUUAAAGGGAGCGUAGGCUGGAGAUUAAGUGUGUUGUGAAAUGUAGACGCUCAACGUCUGACUUGCAGCGCAUACUGGUUUCCUUGAGUACGCACAACGUUGGCGGUAUUCGUCGUGUAGCGGUGAAAUGCUUAGAUAUGACGAAGAACUCCGAUUGCGAAGGCAGCUGACGGGAGCGCAACUGACGCUGAAGCUCGAAGGUGCGGGUAUCGAACAGGAUUAGAUACCCUGGUAGUCCGCACAGUAAACGAUGGAUGCCCGCUGUUGGUACCUGGUAUCAGCGGCUAAGCGAAAGCAUUAAGCAUCCCACCUGGGGAGUACGCCGGCAACGGUGAAACUCAAAGGAAUUGACGGGGGCCCGCACA